GCGUGGAGGAUGAAAGCCGUAAGGUUGUAAACUCCUUUUAUUGGGGACGAAAAAGAAGGUAGCCCCUUCAUUGACUGUACCCAUUGAAUAAGCCCCGGCUAACUACGUGCCAGCAGCCGCGGUAAUACGUAGGGGGCAAGCGUUGUCCGGAUUUACUGGGUGUAAAGGGCGCGUAGGCGGGUCUGUUAGUCAGAGGUGAAAUCCUGCGGCUUAACCGUAGAACUGCCUUUGAUACUGCAGAUCUUGAGUAUGGAAGAGAGUGACGGAAUUCCAGGUGUAGUGGUGAAAUACGU
rnacentral:rRNA from 1 species